rnacentral:rRNA from 1 species
AGCGAACGCUGGCGGCAGGCUUAACACAUGCAAGUCGAACGCAUCCUUCGGGGUGAGUGGCAGACGGGUGAGUAACACGUGGGAACGUACCCUUCGAUCUGGGAUAACUUCGGGAAACUGGAGCUAAUACCGGAUACGCCCUUUUGGGGAAAGGUUUACUGUCGAAGGAUCGGCCCGCGUCUGAUUAGCUAGUUGGUGGGGUAACGGCCUACCAAGGCGACGAUCAGUAGCUGGUCUGAGAGGAUGAUCAGCCACACUGGGACUGAGACACGGCCCAGACUCCUACGGGAGGCAGCAGUGGGGAAUAUUGGACAAUGGGCGCAAGACUGAUCCAGCCAUGCCGCGUGAGUGAUGAAGGCCUUAGGGUUGUAAAGCUCUUUUGUCCGGGACGAUAAUGACGGUACCGGAAGAAUAAGCCCCGGCUAACUUCGUG